rnacentral:rRNA from 1 species
GACGAACGCUGGCGGCGUGCUUAACACAUGCAAGUCGAACGGAAAGGCCCUGCUUUUGUGGGGUGCUCGAGUGGCGAACGGGUGAGUAACACGUGAGUAACCUGCCCUUGACUUUGGGAUAACUUCAGGAAACUGGGGCUAAUACCGGAUAGGAGCUCCUGCUGCAUGGUGGGGGUUGGAAAGUUUCGGCGGUUGGGGAUGGACUCGCGGCUUAUCAGCUUGUUGGUGGGGUAGUGGCUUACCAAGGCUUUGACGGGUAGCCGGCCUGAGAGGGUGACCGGCCACAUUGGGACUGAGAUACGGCCCAGACUCCUACGGGAGGCAGCAGUGGGGAAUAUUGCACAAUGGGCGGAGGCCUGAUGCAGCAACGCCGCGUGCGGGAUGACGGCCUUCGGGUUGUAAACCGCUUUCGCCUGUGACGAAGCGUGAGGGACGGUAAUGGGUAAAGAAGCACCGGCUAACUACGU